rnacentral:misc_RNA from 1 species
AGAAAAAAAAAGUGAGUGAGAUUUGAUUCUCUUAAUUCUUCUUCUGUGCAAUUCCCUUUAUACUUUAUUGUAGUUGUAUUAAUAGAAUAUUAUAGAAGUGAGGUAGAGAGAGAAACAAAAGAUUGUUGAAAAAUUAUUUAGGAUCCAAGAGAAUUAAAAUUGCCUAGAAGAUAAGGGGAAGAAAUGCAAGGAGGGAUUGAGUAGUAAUUAAUACUUGAUCAGCAUUAAUCCAUCAUUGAGCGCGGGAUGGGAUCUACGAGUGAAGCCACGUUGUCGUCAUCCAGUUCAGGAUUUGAUAGUACUUUUGCAUCCUCGUCCAUGAGUGGUUCAACUACUACAACCACUUCUGAGUCCCCUGGAGUCUUAGAUCUCCAUAAUAAUGGAACUGGAAUAUUCCCGGAACUCAACAGUUCCUUUCUUCAGAAAUUAUCAGGACAAGGAACUGCUGGAAUCUGCGCAUGGGCUGCUACUUUAAUCACUUGUCACCAAAUCUAUCAGUAUCUUCGUUGGUAUACAAAUCCUGCAGAACAAAGAUGGAUCGUGCGGAUAUUGUUUUUCGUCCCCAUUUAUGCCUUGGAGUCAUGGUUGAGUCUUUUAUUUUUGAAUAACGAUUAUUAUUACGUUUACUUCAAUGCUUUUCGGGAUUGUUAUGAAGCCUUUGUAAUAUAUAAUUUCUUGGCGUUAUGUUAUGAGUAUCUGGGUGGAGAAGGGAACAUAAUGUCGGAAAUCCGUGGGAAGCCUAUUAAAUCGAGUUGCAUUUAUGGAACCUGUUGUUUGGCAGGACACUCGUACAAUAUAGGAUUUCUACGCUUUUGCAAACAAGCUACAUUGCAGUUUUGUGUCAUAAAACCCGUCAUGGCCUUUAUUAUAAUUUGGCUACAGAGCAAAGGGCACUAUGCGGAUGGAGAUUGGGACACUAAAAAAGGAUAUCUUUACAUAACCUUAAUUUACAACUUUUCGGUUUCACUUGCUCUCUACGCUCUUUUCUUGUUUUACUUUGCCACCAAAGAAUUGUUGCGUCCAUUUGAUCCAGUCUUAAAGUUUUUCACGAUCAAGUCCGUCAUUUUUCUGUCUUUUUGGCAAGGUGUUUUAUUAGCUAUUUUGGAAAACAUGGAUUGUAUCCCUCCUUUAAACAAUGGAGAGGAUGAGAAAUUACAGAUCGGUACUGUGUCUGCUGGAUAUCAAAACUUUUUUAUCUGUAUAGAGAUGUUGUGUGCUGCUAUUGCUCUUCGCUAUGCGUUCCCGAUAUCAGUGUAUCUUGGCGAUGGUUGUGUAUCUGGAGAUGGAGUAGGAAGAACUGUGACCAUGCAAAGCAUAUCAUCUUCUUUGAAGGAAACCAUGAAUCCGAGGGAUAUUAUGACUGACGCAAUUCAUAAUUUUCAUCCACAAUAUCAACAAUAUACUCAGUAUAGCUCAGAUAAUAAGAGAUUUCAACAGCAACAGCCACCACCACCAUCACAACAGUCACAGCAACUUCGUUCUAAUGCUAUAAACAUCAAUAAUCGCUUCAACUCUCCUACUCAUUAUUCAUCUGGUUUUUAUGGCCUUGAAGAAAUGCAAAAAUAUAAUCAACAAGAGCAAUUAAAUGUUAAUAAUGCUCAGGCUUGAAUUUAGGGGAUAUGGGUUUUGAAACACUAACUAAAAUAAAUACCAUUUUUAUAAAGUAAAAAAAUAUAUUAAUUACAUUAUACAUAUGAUGAACCAACUCUUGGAGUAAAACAAAGCGUGGAAGUAGUCGCCAUAAGCGUAAUGAGUCAUACGAUCGAGUCGGUGAUAUAGAGUCUACUCCCUCAUCCACAUCACAUACCGCACGA